rnacentral:misc_RNA from 1 species
GAUGAAGAACUCAGCGAAAUGCGAUAAGUAGUGUGAAUUGCAGAAUUCAGUGAAUCAUCGAAUCUUUGAACGCACAUUGCGCCCCAUGGUAUUCCGUGGGGCAUGCCUGUUCGAGCGUCAUUUACCCCCUCAAGCUCCGCUUGGUGUUGGGCGUCUGUCCCGCUUCGCGCGCGGACUCGCCCCAAAGGUAUUGGCAGCGGUCGUGCCAGCUUCUCGCGCAGCACAUUGCGCUUCUCGAGGCACCGGUGGGCCCGCGUCCAUCAAGCUCACCCCCCCAGUUUGACCUCGGAUCAGGUAGGGAUACCCGCUGAACUUAAGCAUAUCAAUAAGCGGAGGA